GACGAACGCUGGCGGCGUGCUUAACACAUGCAAGUCGAACGGAAAGGCCCUGCUUUUGUGGGGUGCUCGAGUGGCGAACGGGUGAGUAACACGUGAGUAACCUGCCCUUGACUUUGGGAUAACUUCAGGAAACUGGGGCUAAUACCGGAUAGGAGCUCCUGCUGCAUGGUGGGGGUUGGAAAGUUUCGGCGGUUGGGGAUGGACUCGCGGCUUAUCAGCUUGUUGGUGGGGUAGUGGCUUACCAAGGCUUUGACGGGUAGCCGGCCUGAGAGGGGGACCGGCCACAAUGGUACUGAGGUACGGCCCAGACGCCUACGGGGGGCAGCAGUGGGGAAUAUUGCACAGUGGGCGGAAGCCUGAUGCAGCAACGCCGCGUGCGGGAUGACGGCCUUCUGGUUGUAAACCGCUUUCGCCUGUGACGAAGCGUGAGUGACGGUAAUGGGUGAAGAAGCACCGGCUAACUACGUG
rnacentral:rRNA from 1 species